rnacentral:rRNA from 1 species
CUACGUGCCAGCAGCCGCGGUAAUACGGAGGGUGCGAGCGUUAAUCGGAAUAACUGGGCGUAAAGGGCACGCAGACGGUGACUUAAGUGAGGUGUGAAAGCCCCGGGCUUAACCUGGGAAUUGCAUUUCAUACUGGGUCGCUAGAGUACUUUAGGGAGGGGUAGAAUUCCACGUGUAGCGGUGAAAUGCGUAGAGAUGUGGAGGAAUACCGAAGGCGAAGGCAGCCCCUUGGGAAUGUACUGACGCUCAUGUGCGAAAGCGUGGGGAGCAAACAGGAUUAGAUACCCUGGUAGUCCACGCUGUAAACGAUGUCGAUUUGGGGGUUGAGCUUUGAGCUUGGCGCCCGUAGCUAACGUGAUAAAUCGACCGCCUGGGGAGUACGGCCGCAAGGUUAAAACUCAAAUGAAUUGACGGGGGCCCGCACAAGCGGUGGAGCAUGUGGUUUAAUUCGAUGCAACGCGAAGAACCUUACCUACUCUUGACAUCCAGAGAACAUUC